UGCCAACCAUCAGCCAGACUGCAGGAGUAUCUCUUUUGUGUGGCUUGUUGCCAUGUUAAAGGUAAUCAUGUCUGGGAGCAUGUGGCCCCCGUGAGUUCCAGAAGCCCUUACCUACAGCUCAUCUGUUGUUGUUUAACUUCUCUGUACAUGUGCCAGUGAAAUCUUCAGGGUGGGAUCCUGGGCUCUUUAUCAAGAGCACACAAGAGACUGUGGUAUAAGGGUAAGCUCCGCUGCCUUUGAUCUAGCUUUGCACAGCUUUCCAAACAGCAGCUCUUGGUGGCGAUGGUCCCGAUACCUACGUGGUUUGCAGUACAGGCAGUGGCUAUAAAUGGUGGCAGAGGAGAAGAGGCUUCACAGAAUAGAGUGGGUGUGUAAGGAGAAACAUCUGCAAUCCAAAAACCAGCCAAGCCUGGUGCUGGUCUGCUGCCUCUGA
rnacentral:lncRNA from 1 species